rnacentral:rRNA from 1 species
AUUGAACGCUGGCGGCAGGCCUAACACAUGCAAGUCGAGCGAGCGGCGGACGGGUGAGUAAUGUCUGGGAAACUGCCUGAUGGAGGGGGAUAACUACUGGAAACGGUAGCUAAUACCGCAUACCAUCAGAUGUGCCCAGAUGGGAUUAGCUAGUAGGUGGGGUAACGGCUACCCUAGGCGACGAUCCCUAGCUGGCCUGAGAGGAUGACCAGCCACACUGGAACGUGGACACGGUCCAGACUCCGACGGGAGGCAGCAGUGGGGAAUAUGGAACAAUGGGCGCAAGCCUGAGGCAGCCAUGCCGCGUGUGUGAAGAAGGCCUUCGGGUUGUAAAGCACUUUCAGCGGGGAGGCGUUACCCGCAGAAGAAGCACCGGCUAACUCCGUGCCAGCAGCCGCGGUAAGAC